AUGUUGCUUCACUAUUUUAUUUUAAAAGGAUAUGGAGCCAAAGACAUGAAAUAAGGUACCACAAUAUAUCCAGUUCUGCCUGGGGAACUAAAAUGUAAAACAUUGGUAAUUUGGUAGAAUAUAUUAUUUUUAGUAGUAUGACGAAAAAUGUUUAGUUAAUCUAUUGAAGUCACAUCUCUGGUUUUUCGGUUCACGCUUUCUUUCUUCUUUUUGAAGGAACAAACAGGAGCGUAUUCAUUUAACAUAGAAACAGGUAAAGGUUUCCUUGAACCUACAGAGUCAUCAUCAUAGUUAAAACAUAAAAAAGCAAACCAAGAGUUAAAACAAAAGAUACAAAUCGACGUGGUACAGUUACAAAGUUCUUACACCAACAAAGCAUUCACCUGCACAAUGAUCUCUUCAACCUCUAAGCACAUUGCUUCAAACUUCUGGUACACAUACAUUCCCAACCCAUUUUAUACCUUUAAAAUCUAUAAUUCCCCAGAAUCCAAAAACGUUCUUGUGUUCCUUCUGUCAAUGCCCAACAACCAAAAAAGAAAAUUCAGAGAGAGAAUAAGCAUAUGCGGUAAACGUACACACAACAUCGAAUAGAAGCUCAUAGCAAAAGAGACAGUUGCUUAGCCGUUAUUCCAAAUAGAUUAUCCAAGAGAAUAUGGCUAAUGCAACUUCUAAGCAAAACCCGAUUUUUUUUCCAAAUCCUAGGAGCCUUUUAGACGCUAACUUCUUAAACAAAACAAGUUCAUCAAGAAGAGAUAUAAUAUUAGAAUAUCCUUAUCAUAUAAGAUCUUUUGACUGCAGAUAUAAGCUAUGUCUCUGUAUCACAUGAUUCUUUCUUCUAUUGAAAACAGAAAUUGUCAACACCAAACUUAACCAUGUGAAAAACAAUCAACGAUCAUCAUCGGACAAAACCAAAUGUUAUCUACAGAGAGACCAAAUUAGAAAGAAAGAGAGAAAAAAAUACCAAAAGGAAACGAAUUGAUUCGAAUUGAUUCAUAUACUAAACAACUGAUUGCUUAUUAAAAUCAAAACUUCGAAACCCAAAAACUUGAAGUCCAAAGAUUUAACAAAACUUGCUAACAGAGAAGACUCUUUUGCAAUCAAUCAGAAAUUGAGAGAAAAAAAAGGAAUAAACUUUAGAAUUAGAUAACAGAGAAGAAGAAGAAGAGGAGAUGAUAGGUUGAUGAUUCCGUUAGCGUGUAUGAAGAAGAAGAUUCGAACAAGUGGAAGAAAGGCUCGUCAGUGGGAGAAGAAAGAAGCUUACAAAAGUGGCUAAGAGAGUAUUGAAGACUUGGAGAGAAGGAGAAGGUUUACUUAUUAUCUAUGCACUGUCGUUUUAUACUUUACAAAGUGUAUUUAAAUGAACAGUGGAACCUUAGGGUUUCCUUAUCUUAUGAAUGAAAUUAUUAAUCUCUUAA